UACGUAGGGUGCAAGCGUUGCUCCGGAAUUAUUGGGCGUAAAGAGCUCGUAGGCGGUUUGUUGCGUCGGCUGUGAAAUCCCGAGGCUCAAACCUCGGGUCUGCAGUCGAUACGAGCAAACUAGAGUGUUGCAGGGGAGACUGGAAUUCCUGGUGUAGCGGUGAAAUGCGCAGAUAUCAGGAGGAACACCAGUGGCGAAGGCGGGUCUCUGGACAGUUCCUGACACUGAGACACGAAGGCCAGGGGAGCAAACGGG
rnacentral:rRNA from 1 species